GAACUUAAGCAUAUCAAUAAGCGGAGGAAAAGAAACCAACAGGGAUUGCCUCAGUAACGGCGAGUGAAGCGGCAACAGCUCAAAUUUUAAAGCUGGCGUCUUCGGCGCACGCGUUGUAAUUUGGAGAGGCAUCUUCGGUUCGGGCGCCAGCCUAUGUUCCUUGGAACAGGACGUCACAGAGGGUGAGAAUCCCGUGCCUGGCUGGCUGUCCCGACCCAUGUGAAGCGCCUUCGACGAGUCGAGUUGUUUGGGAAUGCAGCUCAAAAUGGGUGGUAAAUUUCAUCUAAAGCUAAAUAUUGGCGGGAGACCGAUAGCGCACAAGUAGAGUGAUCGAAAGAUGAAAAGCACUUUGAAAAUAGAGUUAAAAAGUACGUGAAAUUGYUGAAAGGGAAGCGCUUGAGACCAGACUCGGCUGGGGAUGAUCAGCGGCCCUUCUGGGCCGUGCACUUGUCCCCGGUCGGGCCAGCAUCGGUUGAGGCGGCGGGAUAAAGGCCCGGGGAAUGUGGCUCCUCUCGGGGAGUGUUAUAGUCCCAGGCGCAAUGCCGCCAGCCUCGACCGAGGGCCGCGCACUUUGUGCUAGGAUGCUGGCGUAAUGGUCUUCAGCGACCCGUCUUGAAACACGGACCAAGGAGUCUAACAUCUAUGCGAGUGUUUGGGUGUCAAACCCUUGCGCGGAAUGAAAGUGAACGGAGGUGGGAACCCCUCGCGGGGCGCACCAUCGACCGGUCCUGAUGUCUUCGGAUGGAUCUGAGUAGGAGCAUAGCUGUUGGGACCCGAAAGAUGGUGAACUAUGCCUGAAUAGGGUGAAGCCAGAGGAAACUCUGGUGGAGGCUCGCAGCGGUUCUGACGUGCAAAUCGAUCGUCAAAUUUGGGUAUAGGGGCGAAAGACUAAUCGAACCAUCUAGUAGCUGGUUCCUGCCGAAGUUYCCC
rnacentral:rRNA from 1 species